rnacentral:rRNA from 1 species
UACGUAGGGCGCAAGCGUUGUCCGGAAUUAUUGGGCGUAAAGAGCGUGUAGGCGGCUUGGUAAGUCCGCUGUGAAAGUCCAGGGCUCAACCCUGGAAUGCCAGUGGAUACUGUCAAGCUAGAGUCCGGAAGAGGCGAGUGGAAUUCCUGGUGUAGCGGUGAAAUGCGCAGAUAUCAGGAGGAACACCAAUGGCGAAGGCAGCUCGCUGGGACGGUACUGACGCUGAGACGCGAAAGCGUGGGUAGCAAACAGG